UCGGGCCGGGAACAAUGCCCGGCUGGGCGGGGGCUGGGCCGCUCCGAGCGCCCCGCGCGGUGCCUCGGCCCGCGCCCGCCCCGGGGAAGCGCCGCCCGCGCGCCCCGGAGCUGCGCGCCUGCGCGGCCACUCCGCGCUUGCGCGCGGGCUGCGGUCCCGGCGGGGCCGUGAGGGAUCGGGAGCUGGAGCGGAGGGAGCCGCGGGGCCGUCCGGUAACAAAGGGAGCCACUCGCCGCUGAGGGGCGGGAACGCACGGGGCUGGGGAGAGAUUCACCAGCGCAGCGGCUGCUUACGUGUGGGGGCCAAGCUGCUCGGGGUCUUAAAAAGGAUCGCAGAAUAAUCAAGGCUGGAAGAGACCUUUGAGAUCAUCACGCCUAACGUCAGCCCAGCACUGCUAGUGCAACCCCUAAACCACUGCACCACAUCACCCAGCGCCAGAUCCAGACUCCUCCUGAACACCUCCAGGACUCCAGUCCAGUGACUCCACCUGGGCAACCUAUUCCAAUGCCUGACCUCACUAACAGAAAAAAAUUAAUAUUUAAUCUUAAUAAUCUUAAUCUCCCUUGUUUCAGUUUGAGGCCAUUUCCUCUGGUCCCCUCACUGCAGGCACGGCAGGAGAGACCGGCCCCCACGUCACCACAGCCUCCGUUCAGGUGUCCAUAUGACAAGAGGGAACGGCCUCUGCUUGCACCAGGGGAGGAUCAGGCAGGCUAUUAGGAAAAAUUUCAUCAUUGGAAGUAUGGUCAAGCACUGGAACAGGCUGCCCAGGGUAAUGAUGGAGUCACCAUCCCUAGAAGUGUUCAAAAACCGUGUCAAUGUGGUGCCUGGGGACAUCUUUUAAUACUGGACCUGUCAGUGUUAGGUUAAUGGUUGGACUCCCAUGGUCUUGGUGGUACUUUCCACCUUAAUUGAUUCUAUUAUGCUAUUCUAACAGUAAGAGUGAAAAAAAAAAUAUCCGUCCUGGAGUCCACAAGCUGUUUACCUUGUAAGAGCUGUGACUCCAUUGCUAUUAAAUGGUACUUACUCUGCACUUUCCUGAAAUUGUAAUUUUUUUCAUGUUACUGAAGCCUGCAGGCUCUCACUACACACUCCCUUCCCUCAGAUGUAUCUUCAUCAUCAGUAAUUUUUCUCCCUUAAGUGGGUUUAUAUAUCAGCUUCACUUCAUAUCUAAGUACCUCUUGGGUCAAGAAGACAUCAUGUGAUUGCCAUUACCAGGCAAAGUUGCCAUCCUGAGUCGCUUGGCACUGCAGGUUGUAAACAUCACCCUGCGUCACCUCUUAAGUCUUGAAAGUUGACUCCCUUUUUAGAAUCGUAGAAUAUCUCGGGUUGGAAGGGAUCGAUAAGGAUCUAGUCCAACUGCCUACUCCUCUCAGGACUAUCCAAAACUACAGCCUUUGUGGGACUUAUUUACAUAAAUGUAUUUGGAUGAAGGAGCAAGUGUAAUGAUGUUUUUCUUGAUGCUUCUUGGACAUUUGUGUAAUAAAUAAGAAAUGGUAAAAUAAUUUACUCGUCAAAAUAUAUAUAUUGUACUUUCCGUAUAUUAUAGCUAAUGCUUUGUGGGGACUGGGGAGUUGUGAGCUGCGGAAUAGUUAACUGCCGUGUUACUAUUAUAAGUUGACUGUCCUGCAGCUGGUAGUUCCCUAGCUGGCAAGAUAAAGUAUUCUGCUUUACUGAGCACGUGUACUAUAUCCUGUUUUUCUAAAAAUAUUGUCUAAGUGUACUCAUUAGAAAAAGAAGAAGGGAGCAAGGAUCGGGGGGGAGUCAAGGACAAAGAUGAUAAAGAACAGCCAAAGAGAACGUCGGGGGACCAUUCCCAUACCCAACUCCAAGGACAUUUGAGCUAAUUAAAACUGCUGAUGGAAAGUACCUGGCGAUUGGAAUAGGCCUACAACAGAACCAACCAGAACAAAGCCCGCGAACUCAAGCCCAAUGAAGAGCUAACAAGUGACUAUGGGAGGGGAGUUGAAAAAAGUAUAAAAGUUUGUCUCUAUUGCGCUUGCGGGCCGUUGAUGGAGCGAGGGUCUGCUCCGGCCGCCCAGCACGCUGGUUUGCUUAUUUGCACUUUAUAUAAAUCUUAUAAUAAAAAUUGCUGCUAUA